CGCUGCCCCCUCCGGCGGCAGGCCGCAGGGUCGGGCUCGAGAACUUUCCCAGGAGGAGAAGGUGCGGCGGGUGCAGGGGCGCGGGCGGGCCCCCCCUGCGCUCGGGCCCGCGCUCCGGCUCGUGCGCGGCGGGGCGGGCCGGCCGGGGGCGUGCUUGGCCCGCUCCUCGUGCUGCGCGCGCGAGGCUGGGAUGGUGGGGGCGUCGGCGGCUCCCACAGGCUAAUAAUUUCUGAACCACCCAAACUGUUGAGUGAGCAUUGGUGAUUGCACCUCCUCCAAUCAAGCUGUGGGAUAUCUUUGAGGAGAGCCAAGCUUUCAAGUAAAAGUGAAGAGCUGGAGAGAGCUUUGAAGAGGAGGAGGGAGAAAGAAGCACGGCCUUGCUACUUGGAGAGGAUCAGAGAAGACAGGAAAAAAGGCAGUAGGAAAAGCAGCCAGAGGAUAGAGAGGCUGCUUACUAUUGUGAAAGAACACUGGAUUAGGAGUUAGACGAAAGACCGCGGUUUGAGUUUCAUCUUUGCCACCUAAACCCUUACAGGUUCUUUUCAUUUCCAUGGAAAGGUUAGAAUCAGCUUGUCAAUUUCCACAACAAAGCUAACUGGGAUUUCGCCCAUUUACAGAGGAUUGAAAG
rnacentral:lncRNA from 1 species